CGCCUUUUGACUUCUCAACAUAAAAGGUCCUGCCUGCCCAGUGACCCUGUUCAACGGCCGCGGUAUUAUGACCGUGCAAAGGUAGCGUAAUCACUUGUCUUUUAAAUAAAGACCAGUAUGAACGGCAAAACGAGGGCCUAACUGUCUCACUAGACCAGUCAGUGAAAUUAAUCUUCCAGUGCAGAAGCUGAAAUAUUUAUAUAAGACGAGAAGACCCUGUGGAGCUUCAAACCUCAAGCUAAUAUAAAUUAUACUUUAGCACUCGGUUUUAGGUUGGGGCGACCAUAAGAAAAAAUAAACUCUUAAGACAUUAACAAGAAGGACACUUCGAAUAAAUAAUAACAUUAAUACAUUGACCCAAUAUUUGAUCAACGAACCAAGUUACCCCAGGGAUAACAGCGCAAUCCACUCACAGAGCCCAUAUCGACGAGCGGGUUUACGACCUCGAUGUUGGAUCAGGACCCCCUAAUGGUGCAACAACUAUUGAAGGUUCGUUUGUUCAACGAUUAAAGUCCU
rnacentral:rRNA from 1 species